AUCUUGGGCAAUGGGCGCAAGCCUGACCCAGCGACGCCGCGUGAGUGAUGAAGGCCUUCGGGUCGUAAAGCUCUGUGGGGAGGGACGAACCGCCGGAUGUUCAUAGCAUCCGGCAUGACGGUACCUCCUUAGCAAGCACCGGCUAACUUCGUGCCAGCAGCCGCGGUAAUACGAAGGGUGCAAACGUUGCUCGGAAUUAUUGGGCGUAAAGCGCACGUAGGCGGCUUCGCAAGUCCCAUGUGAAAGCCCACGGCUCAACCGUGGAAGUGCAUGGGAAACUGCAGAGCUUGAGUACUUAAGAGGAUCGCGGAAUUCCCGGUGUAGAGGUGAAAUUCGUAGAUAUCGGGAGGAACACCAGUGGCGAAGGCGGCGAUCUGGGAAGAUACUGACGCUGAGGUGCGAAAGCGUGGGGAGCAAACAGG
rnacentral:rRNA from 1 species